rnacentral:rRNA from 1 species
GACGAACGCUGGCGGCGUGCUUAACACAUGCAAGUCGAACGGAGUGGCGAACGGGUGAGUAACACGUGGGUGACCUGCCCUGCACUUCGGGAUAAGCAUGGGAAACAGGGUCUAAUACUGGAUAGUGUGGGAUGGGCCCGGGGCCUAUCAGCUUGUUGGUGGGGUAAUGGCCUACCAAGGCGGCGCCGGGUAGCCGGCCUGGGAGGGUGGACGGCCACAUUGGGACUGAGGGACGGCCCAGACGGCUACGGGGGGCAAUGGUGGGGAAUAUUGCACAAGGGGCGGAAGCCUGAUGCAGCGACGCCGCGUGGGUGAAGACGGCCUUCGGAUUGGAAACUCCUUUCACCAUCGACGCGGUAGAUGGAGAAGAAGCACCGGCUAACUACGUGCCAGCCGCCGCGGUAAUAC